GAGGCGUGGGUGUUCGGCUACGUCACUGGGGCCCUACGGUGCCUGGAGCUGGGCAGUCUUCUCGUCAGAGUGGGGACUGGUAAGAGCGACCUCCCCGCCAGGUCCUGUGUGUUGCCAGCCGAAGAAGGGUAGCUGAAAAAUUCAGACCCAGCACAGUGUUUAUGUUGGUCAAAAAUAGAAAACUAUGUCUGGCGCCGCCGAGGCGGGAGGACCCUUCAGGCCAAGAGCAGCCUAGCAACAUGGCGCAACCCCAUCUCUGUAGUCCUACCUCAGCUCCCCCCAGCUGAGGGGGGCUCAGCCCCCCAGCCCUCAAGUAUGAACCCAACGGUUCAAGGCUCCAGUGAGCUAUGAUCCCAUCACAGCAUUCCAGCCUGCGAGAUUGAGGACACAAAGACCAACGAGCCACCACAGCCACCAGUCCCAGAACCCGCUAAUGCUGGGGAACGGAAAAUGAGGGAGUUCAACUCUGGCCCUCACAAUCCAGUGGAGGAGACGAAACUCAUCUGCCUCUGUCCCUCUGGGCACGCCUCAUGCCAGGUGCAUCUGUGGACAGGGGCCAUGCUCCUGGGCUUCCAAAGUUGGAGAAAGCUGCCAGGCUCAGAGCCACCUAAGCUGAAGAUUCCCUUGAGAACAAGUACUGUCCUGCGGUUUCAUGGCCUUUCUUCCAUUUGUGGUUCUUGCGAAGUGGAAUUUAAAUGACAUCUUAUCAAGAUCGAUAAAUACUAGUUUCCCAGUGCUGGAAUAUAGAAAAUGGAUGGACAAGUAAAUCCCACUCAGCACCCAUAGUCCAGGCAUGGGGACCUCAACACACCUGAGCCCCAAACAUCACCUUUCAUUCUGGACCUACCAUGAAAGACUUCUGAAUCCAGGAAGAGAAACUGACUGGGCAACAUGUUAUUCAGAAACAGGACCUUGCCCUGUCACUCAGGAUGGAGUUCAAUGGUCCUAUCAUGGCUCAUUAUAGCCUUAAACUCCCAGGCUCAAGCAAUCCUACCAUGUCAGCCUUCCCAGUAGCUGGGACUACAGGAAGUGACCUCACAAUGACUCAAGCUACCACAUACUGUUGAUUGUGAAAUGCCAGUUGAAGCAUAUGUCCUGCGAGCUUAGGGGUGCUACAAGUUGACCACUGCAGCAGUAAAGAUGACUCUGAAGAAUGGCAUGGGAUGGAUCCUUUCGAAUGCACUUGAGCAGCGGUCUCCAACCACAGGGCCACAGAGCUGGAGCUGGAUCUACCAUGAAAGACUUCUGAAUCCAGGAAGAGAGACUGACUGGGCAACAUGUUAUUCAGGGUCUCCCUCUGUUGUCCAAGGCUGGAGUGUAGUAGUGCUA
rnacentral:lncRNA from 1 species